UAAACAUCAAGAGUGGGAAGGAGGGACUCGGCCCGCUGAUCUCCCCGGCAACCUGUGUGCCCCGUGCAGAUAAGGUGCUCCAUCCGACCUGAGAGGAAAGAUGUCAU
rnacentral:ncRNA from 24 species